GCUUGUUAAAACCAUGCUGGAGGCUGGUGCAGUGGCUCACGCCUGUAAUCCCAGCACUUUAGGAGGCCGACGUGAGGCAGGCGGAUCACUUGGGGUCAGGAGUUUGACACCAGCCUGGCCAACCUGGUAAAACCCCAUCUCUAUUGAAAACACGAAAAUUAGCCAGGCGUGGUGGUGAGUGCCUGUGAUCCCAGCUACUCAGGAGGCUGAGGCAGGAGGAUCACUUGGACUCGGGAGGCAGAGUUACAGUGAGCCGAGAUCCUGCCACCGCACUCCAGCCUGGGCGACAGAGAAAGACCCCAUCUCAAAACAACAGCAACAACAACAAAACCGGGCUGGGCGUGCCUUCCCAUCGGACACCCGACCUCGCAAGACUGUCAUUAAAAGUCUCACUCUCGCUGUUCUCUGGGUUGUGAGUCCAUUCUCUGGGUGUGGACAGGCAUUCAGCUCAGUCUACGGCCCGCAGACAGAUUUCCUAGAAAUAACUGCUCCUACUUCUCAACUCUUAACAAAAAGGUCUCUGAAAAGGAAUUUGGAGGAAACAGACUAUUCCAGUGAAUAGUGUACAAGCCUGGGAGAUGCGGACUUUGGUGUAAAAUGAAGGUAGGAUUCAAAAGGUCCUGAUUCCAAUUACACAAGAGAAAACACACUGACUGCAAGUGCAGUUGAAGAAGGUUCUCAGAAGGGCACGCUGGAACCGCUCCCCGGUGCCAGGAGAGGUGUUUGAACUACGUGCUGCUGGGGCGCCCAGACGGGCUUCCCCACGAUCCAGGAAAUCAGAGCUUUUGCAACGUUGG
rnacentral:lncRNA from 1 species